rnacentral:rRNA from 1 species
GGGUCUUGGGAUAUUUGGGGUUAAGUGUCCUUGGGUUUGAAUAGUACUAGGCUGGGUGACCUCCCGGGAAGUCCAAACUCAGGAGCUU